AUAAGGUCUAUGCUGACCCAGAUCCUCAAAAACCAAGAGAUCCUCCUGGCACGAAGUAGCCAAUCAGGUGAUGCUGUUGAGGCGAUUGAGGAUUUGCUCCCAGCAACAUUAUAGACCAGACAGGAACGAAUGGACCUGUGUCUUAAGUUGGAGGAUGUGCAGUUCAGGAGGACAAUGGCAUCCGUCCUGAAGAAUGUGCCUGCAGUGGACUUCAAGGCCAUUGUACGAAACAUCCUAUUCAAAAUUGGGACAGCAAAAAAUAACUGCUACGAUCAAAAAUUAAGGAGAACAAGAAAAACAGGAGCAAGGCAAGGAGGGAAUCAAGGACAUGGACUUGGACGCUAGAAGGCACAAUAGACGAGACGAUCUGGCAAAGGACAAACGGAGAAGUGAGCUUAAAUAGGACGUGGGAGUGAUGGGGAACAGGUGGAAACAAUCAGGAAUCAAGGAUGACGUCAGACUGGUGACACAAGAGGAAUGACCCGUGAUCUGAAACAAGAGGGUAGCUUUUCAAAAUAAAACACAUAGAUCACAAGACAGAAAAACAAACAAGACUUCCCUCACCGCGGUGUGACACAAACAUGCUCCAAGAAAGAUAAAAAAGGACGAAAAUGGCAGACCAGCUCUUCCCUCUUCACUUCGGACUUUGGACGACAAUAUGAUCCUAGCAGCGGUUCCGAACAAGCUGAUUGAUGAAAUGAACUUGUAUUCUAUGUAAAUAAACUAAAC